rnacentral:lncRNA from 1 species
GUGGAGGCGUUAAGGUCUCGGCAAGUGACCGAGAUGUUGUCUUCGUUCUACCCGACCAUGGUUGAGGUAAGUCCUGUUUCGCCUCCUUUUUCCUUAGUGUUUUCGUCACUUUGUUUUCCUGACGAAACGCUGGCGUCGGCAGCUGAUCUACACCAUGUCAGAGCUUGAAGCCGGAUACCGGAGGUUCGGAAACGUCCGGGCGGCUUGGAAG